GGGCCGCGAGAGGGCUCGGGUCUGACCCUCCGCCCCCUGACCGGGUACUUACAGCCCUGUUUUUCGUUACUGUUGCCGCUGCGGACCAGAGAGCCGCCGCCUUCUCCUCCACCCCAAUGAGGUUAAGCGCUUGGUGCGGGGAUUAAAAAAAAAAAAAAAGAAAAAAAAAAAAAAGACCGAGAGAGCGAGAGAGACGCCGAGGGCGCCUGCGCAGUGCGGUCACCCUUUUUCUUCUUACCGCCACCAACCCGGGUACACCAUAGAGAGCGUAAACCGAGACCAGAGAGGCGGCUGCCUCUCUAUGGUAACGCCCCGCGCAGGCGCUGGCCUGGCCGUGUUAGGCUUCGCUGGCGUAAAGUCCCCGGGAGCUUUGCCCCUCACGGAGAACGUUAGUUGACCCUGAUGGGGACCCGUAGGGUAAAGGUUUUGUUUUUGUUUUUUUUUACGGAAAAGGUUGUGGUUAGGCCCCUUGGAAAGUUGCGACAAAACUCGAGUUAGACAAGGAAGGUCGGAACUAAGUGGCCACAGCAACAAUGCACCAGCAAGCAGGGAGCGUGAUAGGAAGAGCUAAAGAGGAAUCGGGAAACCCUGGGGUCUCACCGCCGUCGCCCAGGCCGGAUGGAGUGCAGUGGCGCGAUCACGGCUCACUGCAGCCUCGACUUCCCAGGCUCAGAGAUGGGUUUCACCAUGUUUCCCAGCCUUGUCUCAAACUCCUGACCUCAAGUGAUCCGCCGUCUUGGGUCUUCGAAAGUGCUGGGACAGCAGGAGUGAGCCACCGCAUCUGGCCCGGAAAGUGUUUUGGAGCGUAGAAAAAUGCAAAUUAUAGGGCUGCCUUCAAGGAUCCCGAAGGACCCACAGAUUUGCCGCAUCAGGCUCCUAUGCACGCCGAAAUGCCCAGGAGGAUUGACGAGAUUGAGGUCAAGAUCGUGGCCCAGUGUGUGGCGCUCCAAGCCAGCUCUUCCCCUUUCAAAACCAGAAAAGCCGCAUGUUUAGAUCGCUCUAGGAGAUUCAUCUCCAUUACGAUACAGGAUAUGGGCUGUUUGAAAACUAUUUCAUCAUCUUUAUCAUCAUCAUUCAGUUCAGCCACUUGAGAUUUUCGCCUCUCCAAAAAUGUUGGUGUACAAACUGGUGUGGGGCCCUGGAUUCAACAAGUAAAGAUUAUAAUACAUAAAUGUAAAACAUGAUUAUGACUUUACCCAAAAAUAUCAUCUCUCCUCUAUUUUUACAAGUUGUGCCCCAUUAUUUUAGCUCUGUUACCAUCUUUUGGUGAUACUAUUGCAAAGAAUAAAGAACUUAGAUGCUUAUCAAACUUGGUACAGAAAUUCACAAUUAACAAAUAUAGCAUGUUCCAUUAUAAGGUUUUAGGCAGAAAAUUGCUAAAUCAACAAUAAAGAUCUACCAAAUGUCACAAUAUUUAAUUUGAAAUCUUAAAAUGAGAGUAGCAGAAACUGCUUCUCCUCCUUCAAAUUAUUUCUAUAAUAUCUGGUGUCUGGAGUAUUGAAAACCAUUUUACCUGGCUAUCCACAGUCUUCUCAGGAGUGUCAAGAGUACCUGAAACUUUUUUCUUCUUCUUACGUAAAACCUUAAAAUAAAUUUUAAAACACAUCAAUUUGAAUAUUGAUCAGCUACAGUAGUCUUGAAUAUGUUUUCCUACUUAUCCUUCUCUAAUAUCUUGCAUGUAAAAUGAUAAAAAAAAUUUUACCUGGCCUUUUGUAGACGUCUGACGAUUAGUUUUUGAAAUACUUUCCGUUUUCUGUAAAAUCUUUAAUAAAGAAGUUAGAAAUU
ensembl:lncRNA NIFK-AS1 NIFK antisense RNA 1